UACGAAGGGUGCAAGCGUUAAUCGGAAUUACUGGGCGUAAAGGGUGCGUAGGCGGUUCGUUAAGUCUGUCGUGAAAUCCCCGGGCUCAACCUGGGAAUUGCAAUGGAUACUGGCAGGCUGGAGUAUGGUAGAGGAAGGUGGAAUUCCCGGUGUAGCAGUGAAAUGCGUAGAGAUCGGGAGGAACACCAGUGGCGAAGGCGGUUGCCUGGAGCUUUGCUGACGCUGAGGCGCGAAAGCGUGGGGAGCGAUCCGG
rnacentral:rRNA from 1 species